GAUCAACGCUGACAGAAUGCUUAACACAUGCAAGUCGAUGAUGGGAGCUAGCUUGCUAGAAGAAGUCAUGGCGGACGGGUGCGUAACGUGUAAAGAACUUACCAUAUAGACUGGGAUAACAGAGGGAAACUUCUGAUAAUACUGGAUAAGUUAGUAGUAGCAUUACUAAGUAAUGAAAGGUAGCAAUACGCUAUAUGGGAGCUUUGCAUCCUAUUAGCUAGUUGGUGGGGUAAAAGCCUACCAAGGCGAUGAUAGGUAGCCGGCCUGAGAGGGUGGACAGCCACAAGGGGACUGAGAUACGGCCCUUACUCCUACGGGAGGCAGCAGUGGGGAAUAUUGGACAAUGGAGGCAACUCUGAUCCAGCAAUUCUGUGUGUGUGAAGAAGGUUUUAGGACUGUAAAACACUUUUAGUAGGGAAGAAAGAAAUGACGGUACCUACAGAAGAAGCGACGGCUAAAUACGUG
rnacentral:rRNA from 1 species